rnacentral:lncRNA from 10 species
GUAGAAUCUUGUCUCAAAAAAAACAAAAAACGAUCAUCAGUUAAGUGGGAUUUUCCAUCUUACAGACACCUCCAUGUUCGUUCUUCCCCAGAAUCUCACGAGGCAAACUGAGCCAGGAGUUCAUUCUAGAGAUGAGGAAACUGAGACCUCAACUUGCCCAAGAUCACACCCGGGCGUUUCCUGCUUCCCAGCCUUUGCAUUUGUCUUGAGUCACGCACUUCUCUUCAGCUUUGAGACGUCAGCUUAGAGGUCACUUCAGCCAGGAUGCCCCGUCCCCCAGCUGCAGGUGAGGGCCCCCUCUUGUUGUGUUAACUUGCUCACCUCUGCCACGGGCCUGUGAGCACAGCUGCCGCUCUGUCUAUACCUCCC